UCGGGAAUUUUGGGCAAUGGGCGAAAGCCUGACCCAGCAACGCCGCGUGAAGGAUGAAGUAUUUCGGUAUGUAAACUUCGAAAGAAUAGGAAGAAUAAAUGACGGUACCAUUUAUAAGCUCCGGCUAACUACGUGCCAGCAGCCGCGGUAAUACGUAGGGAGCAAGCGUUGUUCGGAUUUACUGGGCGUAAAGGGCGCGUAGGCGGCGCGGUAAGUCACUUGUGAAAUCUCUGAGCUUAACUCAGAACGGCCAAGUGAUACUGCUGUGCUAGAGUGCGGAAGAGGCAACCGGAAUUCUUGGUGUAGCGGUGAAAUGCGUAGAUAUCAAGAGGAACACCUGAGGCGAAGGCGGGUUGCUGGGCCGACACUGACGCUGAUGCGCGAAAGCCAGGGGAGCAAAC
rnacentral:rRNA from 1 species